rnacentral:tRNA from 1 species
AAGAUACUAGUAAAAUCCAUUACCUAGCUUUGUCAGGGCUAUAUUGCAGGUUAGACCCCUGUGUAUCUUG